UACGUAGGGAGCAAGCGUUGUCCGGAAUCAUUGGGCGUAAAGCGCGCGUAGGUGGCUUCGUAAGUCCGUUGUGAAAGUCAAAGGCUCAACCUUUGAAAGCCGAUGGAUACUGUGAAGCUAGAGUACGGAAGAGGCGAGUGGAAUUCCUGGUGUAGCGGUGGAAUGCGCAGAUAUCAGGAAGAACACCUGUGGCGAAGGCGGCUCUCUGGUACGUGACUGACGCUGAGACGCGAAAGCGUGGGGAGCGAACAGG
rnacentral:rRNA from 1 species